rnacentral:lncRNA from 1 species
AUGCACACCAUGGGCACACGCGCACACGGACACGCAUGCAUGCACACGGACACAGACACGGACACGCACACACACACGGGCACGCGCGCACGCACACACACACACGGACACGGACGCUCACACACAUACACGCACAUGCGCACACGGACACGCAUGCAUGCACACGGACACGGACACACACACACAGGCACGCACACACACACACUGGCACGCGCACACACAUGGGCACAUGCGCACACGGACACACACGCAUGCACACGGACACGGACACACGCGCACACACAGGCACGCACACACACGGGCACGCGCACACACAUACACACACAUGCGCACACACACACACGGACACGGACACGCACACACCCCACAAAGGGGCAAGGCUCCAGGCUGGAAGGGUUCCUACAGGACCGAGAGAGGAGACAGUGGGGGACAUCUGAGAACCAGGCAGAGAGAAACGGGCACAUGUGGGGGGUGAGGAGUCCCCAGGGCCGGGAGAGCCCACGGCCCCAAAGUCCUGCGGGAAGGUGGCUUCCUGCUAGAAGUGUCCCCACCCAAGCAUCACUCAGCUGUGCAGGCAGAACAAAGUGUCUUCAGCGACAUCCAGUUGGAACUGAGCACCUGCGGGGCCUUCUGAGGAGCUCCCAGAGGCGGGGAGGGGCCCAGCCCACCCGGCGGGAGCGAGACCCGGGGCCUGGGGUGCCACGCAUUUGUGAGACAAGGCCACAGCUGUGCUGGAAGUCUGGGAGGGAUCAGAAGAUGCAGAAGGGACAGGAGGGCACCAUCAUCACCUCCAGGAGACACAGGAGCUGUCUGAGAGGUGACGCUCACAGCGGAGGGAAGCUGCCCAUGUUCGGCUCCGGGCCAGGGUCGCUGGGGAGCAGGCGCGCGGCAGCAGGACCUGCGGAGAGGCAGGUGUCUGUGGGCGGGGAAGACAGCAAAUGCGUGUCCCCAGGGUGGGAGGCUCCACUGAGCCCUCCGGGCCGGUGGGCAGCUCUUCUCAGCUCUGUGCUCACGUGGGAUAUCGAGAGUGGCGCACAGCUUUACGAGGAGAGACGGGCAUUACGGACUGGAGCGACCUGA